ensembl:lncRNA
UACAGAGAGUCUGCUAUACUUUAUUCCAUAUCAUGUUACAAGGAAACAACAGUGACAGCUGACAAACCAUUACAUCUUUCAUAAUACAGACAAAUUACAAUUGGUAACAAAUAUGCAACAUGUAUUAUUCCAUCCUCCUUACUAUGUGUCAUUUUGAAGUAUAAUAGUUUUUUGAAUGAUGCUAGCACAUUUCUUAGUUACCGACCCCCUGUAGAAAGUACACAUCUCAGUGUAUCAUACAAAAAAAAGAUAAAAGAAAAAUAAAAAAAUCCACUCCCAACUAGAGAAUGUAGAUUUUGUAUGUGCCUCUAAAAUAUGCUGCUGUGGGAAGGGGAGAAUAGGAGACCGCUUAUUUUAUUUGAGAUUUUUUUUGUUUGUUUUUUUGUUUUUGGUAUAUGAGAAAAUUGCAAGGCAGUAACAUAUACGGUUUCCUCUGCCUACAAGCCAGUAAGGGAGAUGGAAGUUAUGCUCAAUUAUGCAGCAUAUUCCUAUGUAUAGGGGGCAGGCAAUAAUCUACCCCAGUAUGUACAGCCUAAACAUCCUCUUAUAUAACAAAGAUUACAAAACCAGUAAUAUUCACAGAUAAGUAUCUUAUGUAGACGCAUUACCUAGGAUAUUGAUUACACUGGCUGUCAGGUACACACCGAGGAAAGAAUACCAAGAGGCUUUGCUUUCUCUGCAAGCCUGGAGGCUCCCCUGGAAACUCUUCUUAUCACUCUUGGGAGGUAGAAAUAGCUUCUCAACCUUGUAUCAGUGGAUGGACAGCCAGCCCUGCCUUAUACCCUCUGUUUUUUCUGAACACUGCAAACAUUGCUUUCAUGUCCUAUGUAUCUUGUAUUUUUAAGUUAACCAAACUGUUCCUUUAAGAAAAUGGAAAUUAAGUCCCAAAUUUCCUUUCAGAAUACUAUGUGUGCCAUGAUGUCACAUUGAUAUAAUCACCAUGCUAAUGUGUUCUAACUAUUCCAGCUGUUUGAAAUCAAGCUACUCCUUCAUAUAAAAAUAGUCUCACAAAACAUUCCAGUGCUUUCUCAAUAGAAUAAUAAAUCUGCUAAUGAACACAGUCUGUAAUGAUUUCUACGACUGCCCUCAGCAAGAGAAGGUGGGAAAAGGAGACGGAGAAUGUGAUUACAAAUGGGAGAGGAAAGGAGAGACACAAACCAAACUUUGGAUGUCCUGUACCAAUGGCAAAGAUGGGGAACUAAAAACCUCCCAAACCUCUGACAUGUACGUUUCUGUAAGAACAGAUCCCUCCCAUCCCCCGCCCCCCACUGAGUAGCAUCAUGUUUGAUUUCCCAAGAGAAGCUGCCUAUGAAAGGGCAUAUAUCGCUGAAUGACUCUAACCUUCCUAACUGAAGUCUUUUAACAUUAAAUAUUUUCAAAUUUUCAAGUUAGAAAGCUUAUUAAAUAGCAAGAUUUCAUCAUCAGUUGUUCUAAACUUUGUAAAAUACAAAAGUUAUGCCUCUCCCUUAAAUGAAUAAUUCAAAACAAAUCACGGGAAAGGCUGUUUUUGAUUGCAUGUAAAGUUUUCUCUUUGUGUUUACUUCAAGAAAUCCUAAUUUAAGUACACGUUAAAUCAAAAUAACCUCCAAAGACUUCCAACGGGUUGGAAUAUAUGAAAGAAGAAUGGAAAGGAUUUCUAGGUAGCAAAUAGCAAACAUUCUAGCCUUGGGUGACUUUGGUUCUCUUUAAAAUCAAUCAGUAAAUAAUUCUUUGCUUAGCACUUCGAAGCUUACAAAGAAUGCUACUUCUGGAUAGGACGGAUUGUGACCUUGACGUACAUACUCACCCCUCACUCGGGGGAAGGUACCAUUUUAAUGUUUAGGAAUUCUGGGUCCAAUUUCCUAAGUAUACUGGGUUUGACUGUAGAAAAGCUUUUCCCUCACUUGAUUCUCAGAGAAAGUCUUUGUCAAACUGGCUCAUAAUUCCUAGUCUUCAUCAUAAAAAGUGUGACACAUUUCAAGCUCUUAGUCUCUCCUUUCUGACUAAUAGGAAAAUGUAAAACAAUGUACACAAAGGUAUUUCCAUAGGAACUUGUAUCCUGAGGAGCCAGGUUUCAUGCUUUAGAGGAAUUUCCUAACCUUGGCCUCAGUAUUAUUUGGGAUUCUGCAGCGAGUCCUGCCCCACUGGGAGACGGCCUACACCAGGCAGCGCUCCCUCUGGAUCAAAGCACAACGCAUGCCUAAUCCACUCUGUCCUCCGUGUCACAUACUCACCUUCAUCCUCCAAGGCCCCGCAACUCCUUAAACAAGGGAAGCUGCGCCUUUCUUUUUCCCUUUUCAGUCUUUAAAGCAAGACUCCUGCAUUAUUUCUGAAACCUGCAUUCGAACAGUUUUUCUCACAGACGGUUUAAAGUUAAGGUACACAAUGAUGUCUUCCAAUCAGCUUAGAAUGUUUCUUAAAAAUGUAAUUUGAAGGUGCUUUGAUGUAAAUUUUUAGCUCUGGAUACCUUUGUAAUUUGCUUUUUAAACGUUAACUAGCAAAGAGGGCUUUCAGAGCUCAUCCAGCGGAUACAAUUUUUUUGCAUCCAAGUUUUAAACAUUCUGUUCCUCCUCUUUUCCCCAUUUAGAAAAAUACAAAGUGUAACAGAGUGGAUGGGAAAAAUAAGAUGUUGACAAGACUCAGAAAACACGUAAAAGUUACCUCAAUUUCCAGAGGUUGAAAAGUAAGCAAUUUAUCCCUGCCUUUGUUCUUAAUGCUUGGUAUUUGUUUCUUCACUUCCAACCUACUCAAAAAACAGUCGUGUUAUGUGGCUUGAGAAUGCUAAGCAGAUUCCGACAUCCUGUGUAAAUGUAUAGUUAUUUCCAAGAAAAACCAUAUUUGCAAAUGUCCUCAAAAGGUAAGCGACAAGUGGAGCCCCACAGCCAGGGACCAAGUUGUCAAGUCAGUCAGAGAACAUGGGUUUGCUGUAGCUAAAAAUUUCCUUCCUAGUGGUUGCAAAAUGUGCACCACUCUCAAAGAAAACACGCAUUGUUUUAUGCCACUAUGUGGCUUUCAAGUACAGACAUUACUGAAGAAGUGCGAACACCAAAUGUGUUGUCUUAACGUAUUUAAGACAUGGCUGGUGAAAGCAUAAAAACCUUUCCAGAGACGCUGUGCUGCAGAGGGAAAUCAAACAAAAUCAAACACAAAAGACUGAAAAGAAUACAUGCCAUGUAUCAGUAAGCAAAGCUUAAUCUUCACAUAGUUCUCGGAAAUCACAAGGUAUCCAAAUGCGUGCAAGGUUUUAAAUAAAUUGCAGAGAAAACAGGGUCUUGCCAGCUUCAAUUUUCUUGUAAGUGAAAUCCACCACCAGGAGUGAAAGGAAACUGAUCCAUGAUUCCCUUCGUAUUAUCGGCCACUUCGUUAAUGUUUUUUUUUCUUCCCAGAAUGAUGACAACUUAAGCCUGGAAAAAGGAAAAGAGGAAAUUGUUAUAUGUAAAAAAAACCUCACAUCAUUCAUUUUUCCUAAAUUACAUGAGACAUCAAAAUUGGUCAAGCCAAAGUGAGCCUAUCCAUUUUCUGCACAGCCACCCCAGGCACAGAUAUCUGAGGCAGAGUAGUCUCCUUAACCAACAGUCCUUAUACCAUGAUAAACAAAUCUUCUGACUGCAUUUUCUUCCCCCAAAAUAAUUUAACUCCAUGAAUUAAAAUGGUCUAACCUCCUCUUGGAUUAUUUAGAGAAAAAGAAAUUCAGCAAAUUUCCUUCCCCAAAUCAUUAGUAGUAAUACUGGUCUUAAUUAAGUGCCUGUAGCAUUAUACAGACCAUUAAAAGGACAUAUCAUCGUGUUCAUUUUUAUGAACAUGAAAUAGAAAAAUGGAUCACAUAUAUGCUUUUAAAAAAAACC